GACGAACGCUGGCGGCGUGCUUAACACAUGCAAGUCGAACGGAAAGGCCCUGCUUGCAGGGUACUCGAGUGGCGAACGGGUGAGUAACACGUGGGUGAUCUGCCCUGCACUUCGGGAUAAGCCUGGGAAACUGGGUCUAAUACCGGAUAGGAGCCAUUUUUAGUGUGAUGGUUGGAAAGUUUUUUCGGUGUAGGAUGAGCUCGCGGCCUAUCGGCUUGUUGGUGGGGUAAUGGCCUACCAAGGCGGCGACGGGUAGCCGGCCUGAGAGGGUGGACGGCCACAUUGGGACUGAGAGACGGCCCAGACUCCUACGGGAGGCAGCAGUGGGGAAUAUUGCACAAUGGGCGCAAGCCUGAUGCAGCGACGCCGCGUGGGGGAUGACGGCCUUCGGGUUGUAAACUCCUUUCGCUAGGGACGAAGCUUUUUGUGACGGUACCUAGAUAAGAAGCACCGGCUAACUACGUG
rnacentral:rRNA from 1 species